rnacentral:rRNA from 1 species
GACGAACGCUGGCGGCGUGCUUAACACAUGCAAGUCGAACGGAAAGGCCCUGCUUUUGUGGGGUGCUCGAGGGGCGAACGGGUGAGUAACACGUGAGUAACCUGCCCUUGACUUUGGGAUAACUUCAGGCAACUGGGGCUAAUACCGGCUAGGAGCUCCUGCUGCAUGGUGGGGGUUGGAUAGUUUCGGCGGUUGGGGAUGGACUCGCGGCUUAUCAGCUUGUUGGUGGGGUAGUGGCUUACCAAGGCUUUGACGGGUAGCAGGCCUGAGAGGGUGAGCGGCCACACUGGGACUGAGAUACGGCCCAGACUCCAACGGGAGGCAGGAGUGGAGAAUAUUAUACAGGAGGCGGAAGGCUGAUGCAGCAACGCCGCGUGCGGGAUGACGGGCAUCGGGUUGUAUACCGCUUUCGCCUGUGACGAGGCGUGAGUGACGGUAAUGGGUAAAGAAGCACCGGCUAACUACGUG